GUUAAGUUAAAUCACGAUAUCUCUGCUGGUAGUCAGGAUACAGCAUGUGAAAUACAGGUAGCAUAGUAAUAAUCUUUUUCCCAAGAACUAGACGACACAUAGCUUGGGAGUCAACUGAGCCUUUAUUGCAUUGUCACCAUAUUUAUAAAAGUCCACAUGCAAGGGGUUUCCAAACUGACAUUGCAUGGGUUUUUCUCAGGUGGACUUUGUGGG